AUAAUACGCCCAAUGGAUCGUGCAGCAAGAAGGUGUUAACAUCCAAACUAAAUCCCCAGCAUGGACCCCGCCUCUCCCAAUGGCGACAUGGGCUUCUGGGUAUCACCGGCAGGCUCCUCCUGAGCUGGAUUCUGGAGCUUGCUUUUUGGAUAGUCCGCCUUCUUUUCUUCUUCUCCCUCUCCUUCCUCGUCUUCCUCCUCCUCACCCUCCUCGUCCUCGUCUUCCUCUACUUCAGCAGCCUGUUCGACCUGGAAGAACCCCGCAUACAACACAUAUCCCACAAACAUCCCUAGGCCAGCCAAUACAGUUGCUAUCGACGUAUAUAACUCUCGUCGCUGCAUCGUGGCGACCUUCGCUGCUAUCUCCUUCUCCUCACAGGGCCCCUGCGCCUGCUCGCACGCCCGUUGCAAUCUAGCGUUGGCUCUGAUCUGCUGCACAAUUGCUCGCCAAGGCAGGCUCGAUGCACCCCCCACGCUCUCUGAAAACGCCAUGAACACCUCCACUGGCACAUCGCCAAAACACCGCGACCGUAAUCGGGCUACAUAGGCCACUAAUUGCGGUCCGUGUUCCGUGACAGCGUCUCUCAGCCACGGGUUUGGAAGGUUUGGAACUAAGGCCAGGGAGAGAUAACCCAACGCCAAACAAUCUUGACUCGACGGAAUUUCCGAUGAUAACAGAUACCCUUUCCGCCCCAGACGCUCUUCCAGAGGUGCCACAAAUGCGCUGGCCAUGCCCUCCAGUCGUAUCUGGUUUUGUUUUGAAGACCUGUUUAAAAUAUCGCUCACUGUCGCCUGGCGCUUGCGGAUAAGGCUUUUGGGGAUUUUGCUUGCUAGGCUGCUGGGAUCCCGCGCUUGAUGUCUCUGCUCCUCCGCCAUCACAUCGAGAUCAAGAGAUGUAAGACUGAGAUGUUCUGUGCGUUUCUUAGCCAGUUUUCGAAUUUGUGGUGGCGUUAUCCAUUGGCUGGGCCAUUGGAGAAACGAUGCGUAGGCCUGGGAAGUCGCAUUGUUAUAAUUAUCACUCGACACGUAUAAAGAAAGGUCAAUCAAUGGCUGGCCUUGGGAUUCGAGAAAGGAUGAGAACCUGUUAUCGCCACUGUUAAGUCCUGUAAUGCAAUCCAUAUGCUUUGCUUUCAAAAUGAAAUUAGAUUUGGUAGAAACUUGCACAUACGCUAUGCAAUCUGCUUUCUCUUUUUGACCCAUCCACCGAUCCAAGUCCCAUUCUCCGUCAGAGUAUUGGCUUAGGUAUGCUACGAUGUUCCUGAACCGACUGAUCCACCUCGUUCCGGUCCAUAACGCUGGUAGUUCAUUAGUUGGAACCAUACCAGGAUCGCUAUCCGCCACCAACACCCACCGUUCCCGCUCCCCAUCAGAUCCUCUUAACUUCAUGGGGACGGCCAAAGCAAAAUAUGCAACCAUCGAAAUACAUUGUGGGUCGAUCGAAGGCAGCCCAAAUGCUGGGCCCCAAACAUGUAGUUCGAAUACCAUAGUUUGUUUUUCUCCUUUUAUUUCCUUCCUUUGACAAGCUCCCUUGUUAUAGUUCCUUUCCUCCCUCCUGUUCCUUCACAGUCCCACGCGCCAGACACCCUCAUAUAUGGCUAGGUUUGCGUUGAGUUUGUUGCGCA
rnacentral:sRNA from 1 species